AGGAGGAGGGGAGGAAGAGAUAGAUAGGAGGGAAGGAAGGAAUAGGAGGGAGGAAAGAAGAGAGAGAUGAGGACGGGGGAGACAGGGAAGGAGGAAGAGAUAGGAGAGAGAGAAAGGAAGGAAUUAAUAGAAGGAAGGAAAGAAAGAAAGGACGGACAGGAAGAAGGAAGGAAGGAACAAAGGAAAAAUGGAAAGAAUGAAAGGAAGAAGGAAGGAAGGAGAAAAGGAAAGAAGAACGUAGGAGGGAGGAGAAGGUAGGGACCAGCAGAGAAGGAGCAGGAAGCAGAUGAUUGAGGAGAAAGAUGAAGGUGAAGAGUGAAGGUCAGCGGAGGAAAAGAGAUAUUGGAAAUAUCAGAAAUAUGAGAGGAGGCAAGAGAAGGAAAUGAGAGUGAGAGGAAGGAGGAGACAGAGGAGGAAGGGGGUGAUAAAUGAGAAGAGAUACUAAAAAUUAAAUAUGAGGGAAAUGGAGAAAAUGAAACUAAAGGAGACGAGGAGGAAAAGAAGAGGAGGAAACAGGAUUAGAGAAGGAAAGAAGAUGAAGAAAGAAAGAACAGACGAAGGCAAGCGAGGAAACAAGAGAUGAGUCUUAGUUGGCCUUGGACCAGCCUUCACCAACUCCACUGAUGGUUUUCGUUCCACAGACGGAUCUUCAGCAGGUUCCUCCUGACGAGGCUCACCUGCUGGCUGGAACCCGUCCAGCUGCUCCUCAGUUCUCCACCAGAACAAACAUCUGGACCUUCAGGAGUUCACCUUCAGACGGUUCCUCUAAAGGUUCUUCUGUUCAUCAGGUCCUUUAACCCGUUUCACUGCAGCAUCCUUCAGAGACCACCUGACAAACUUGUUUUAGAGAAGUUUACAGGACAUCGUAAUAAUAAGUCUAUCAGAACCAUCUCCAAUAAUCAGGAGGUGAUCCAUUUUAAAGGUGAGUAUUUGCUUGUUUUGUCGUCAGAUGAAGGUUGUCAACAAACAUUUUCCGUCAUGUGUGUAUAUUAGCCUCCUGACGCAAACAUACACACACAGCGCAGACACACACAAAUGCAGACACACACCACGGAAACACAACUCGGGGCGAAACGGCGCCAAAACCAAAGUUCUCACUUCUGCUGCAGGACA